UCAGGGAGGUCGGCAACGACCACCCAGA
rnacentral:rRNA from 1 species